UUCACUUCCUUGUGCUUCAAGCUGUCCUCC
rnacentral:piRNA from 1 species